rnacentral:lncRNA from 1 species
CAUGUGUGCAUAGACCUGUGUGUGCAUCUGUCUCCAUGUACGUAUGUCUGUGUGUGGCACAGAUGGGAUACUGCGGGUGCAUCUGCAUGUGUGUACACAGGUGCCUGUGCAUGCAUACGUGUGUGCAUAGACCUGUGUGUGCAUCUGUCUUCAUGUACCUAUGUCUGUGUGUGGCACAGAUGGGAUGCUGUGGGUGUAUCUGCAUGUGUGUACAUAGGUGCCUGUGCAUGCGUAUGUAUGUGUGUGCACAGACCUGUGUGUGCAUCUGUCUCCAUGUACCUACGUCUGUGUGUGGCACAGAUGGGAUCCUGUGGGUGCAUCUGUACGUGUGUGUACACAGGUGCCUGUGCAUGCGUAUGUGUGUGCAUAGACCUGUGUGUGCAUCUGUCUCCAUGUAC